rnacentral:rRNA from 1 species
CAAAGGAAGUUGACGGGGCCCGCGACAAGCGGUGGAGUAUGUGGUUUAAUCGAUGCAACGCGAAGAACUUACCUGGUCUGGCAUCCCGGAGACCCUUAGGAAACUAGGGGGUGCUUCCAUCUGGAAGAAUCUGGAGACAGGUGCUGCAUGGCUGUCGUCAGCUCGUGUCGUGAGAUGUUGGGUUAAGUCCCGCAACGAGCGCAACCCUUGCCUUUAGUUGCCAGCAGUUCGGCUGGGCACUCUAAAGGGACUGCCGGUGUUAAACCGGAGGAAGGUGGGGAUGACGUCAAGUCCUCAUGGCCUUUAUGACCAGGGCUACACACGUACUACAAUGGCCGAUACAAAGGGCAGCGACACUGCGAGGUGAAGCCAAUCCCGUAAAAUCGGUCUCAGUCCGGAUUGGAGUCUGCAACUCGACUCCAUGAAGUUGGAAUCGCUAGUAAUCGUGGAUCAGCAUGCCACGGUGAAUACGUUCCCGGGCCUU